GGGGAUGUGGCUUAGUGGUAGAGUGCUUGCCUAGCAUGUAGGAGGCCCUGAGCUCAAUCCCCAGCACCACAA
rnacentral:tRNA from 1 species